rnacentral:rRNA from 1 species
GACGAACGCUGGCGGCGUGCCUAAUACAUGCAAGUCGAGCGGAACUGGGGGAGCUUGCUCCUUCCAGUUUAGCGGCGGACGGGUGAGUAACACGUGGGCAACCUGCCCUGCAGAUCGGGAUAACUCCGGGAAACCGGUGCUAAUACCGAAUAGUUUGGCGCCUCUCCUGAGGCGCUACGGAAAGACGGUUUCGGCUGUCACUGCAGGAUGGGCCCGCGGCGCAUUAGCUAGUUGGUGGGGUAACGGCCCACCAAGGCGGCGAUGCGUAGCCGACCUGAGAGGGUGACCGGCCACGCUGGGACUGAGACACGGCCCAGACUCCUACGGGAGGCAGCAGUAGGGAAUCUUCCGCAAUGGACGCAAGUCUGACGGAGCAACGCCGCGUGAGUGACGAAGGUUUUCGGAUCGUAAAACUCUGUUGUGAGGGAAGAACACGUACCAACUAACUAUUGGUACCUUGACGGUACCUCACCAGAAAGCCACGGCUAACUACGUGCUAGCCGCCGCAGUAA